GGUUAAACUGGACCCCUGUUGUGUUCACUUAUCGCUACACUGACAACAGGUAUGGCCUAAAUCCCGUGGUCAGAAUUCUGACCACGGGAUUUAAUAAUUUGACGAGACUAGUACAUCAUGUGCUAUGUUUAAUUAUGUAUUAUACUGAUAGCAAAUCAAAGAGAAAUUAGCACAUUUAUAACCCUACUGAGUUCUUUAGGGAAUGAAAGAUACCGGCUCAGUUUGUCAAGAACAUGUUAACACGCUCGUUGGUCAUUUAUCUGCGAGUACCACCAGGGGGUUAAUUAACAGAUACUUGUUUAUUUUGCG
rnacentral:lncRNA from 1 species